GACAACGUAGUUUAAGUUUAGAGAUAGGUAUUCUGCGAAUACUUGGUGAGGUUUCUCCGUUGUUG
rnacentral:tRNA from 1 species